ensembl:lncRNA LINC03048 long intergenic non-protein coding RNA 3048
CCCCUAGCUAUGCGCCUCGUGCCUGGGAGCCUUAGGGCCACACGGAAGGGUAGAAAUCAGUUUCAGAGAUUCCUGCUCCCAGCCCAGGCCCAGACGGCAACAGAAGCUCAUGGUGAGUUCACCCCGGUCCUGGUCUGGCACCUCAUUGCUGGGGAGGUCUCGGCAGUCCAGAGGAGGUAGCCCCCACCCUGGGCAUCCAUCCGCCCAGGCCCCAGCCUCCGCGGGAAGACCCAAUUACAGAAGAGAGAAGUAUGUGGAGACCCUUGGCUGAGGUUGGGGGUCCUGGAAGCUGGAGUGUGGCCUGGGACACCUCCUAUCCAGCCAUACGCCGCCCAGGACUGGCUCAACAGCUCCACCCUCCACUGCUGUUCACCCAUGACACGUCACUUCCCACCCGCCACUGCUGGCUCACCUGUGACACCCCAGGCAGCUCAGAUGCCCGGCAGGUCCUGCUGGUGUGUGUUAGCCGGGGUCUCCAAAGAACCAGAGCCAGCAGGGGACACACCCAUCUCUGUAUCUGGAGAAAAAGAUCGAUGAGAAGGAAUCUGCUCCUGUGAUGAUGGAGGCUGACAAGUCCCGAGAGCCACGGUUGGCACCCUGGAGACCCCUGAGGGUGAUACCACCACUCCAGGCUGAAAGCUGGCAGGCUUGAGACCCUGGGAGAGCUGGCCCUCUGACUCCUGGGACUUCUUAUUCUAUCCUAGUAUUUCCUCAGCUGAGUGCAUGGGGCCAGACCACACUGGGGAGGGCAGUCAGCGUCACUCAGAGCACCGGGUCAUCUCAUGCAGAAACACCCUCAAAGAAAUAGCCCAAAUUAUGCUGACCAAAUAUCUGGGCACCCCGUGCCCCAGACAAGUUGACACAGAAAAUUAACCAUCACAGGUUAACUCCAUCCAGGAGUGGAAUUGCUGGGUCAUAGAGAAGGCAUAGGAAUUCACAGAAAUCACCAAACGGUUUUCAGGCGGUUGUGCCAUGUUAAACUCCCACUGGAAAGAGAGGAGAGCUGUGAUUGUUCCACGUCCUCAGCAACGUUUAGAAUAGGCAGUCUUUGGCCGGGCCGGGCACAGAGGCUCAAACCUGUAACCCCAGCACUUUGGGAGGCCAUAGUGGGUGGAUUACCUGAGAUCAAGAGUUCAAGACCAGCCUGGCCAACAUGGUUAAACCCCGUCUCUAUUAAAAAUGCAAAAAUUAGCCAGGCGUGGUGGUGCGUGCCUGUAAUUCCAGCUACUUGGGGGCUGAGGCAGGAGAAUCGUUUGAACCCAGGAGGCAGAGUUUGCAGCGAGCCGAGAUCGCGCCACUGCACUCCAGCCUGGGCAACAGAAUGAGACUCUGUCUCCAAAAAAAGAAAAAAUAAAUAAAGAAAAGUCAUUCUGUA